UACCUAUUGAUGCACUCACAUUUGCAUGUUUUCAAACUUCUGGGUUGGCAGAAGCUGGGGCUAACAGUGGGGGCUCUCUCCGCUCCCCCAAUUCAAACCUGCGGCCUUUCGAUCCAGAAGUUCAGCAGCUCAACGCUUUAACAUGCUGCACCAUCAGGGGAUAUUAUUUCCUAAAAGUUGUGAAUAUACCAUAUUUCUGAUUUUUUUUUGUCUGUUGGAGGCAAGUACGAAUGCUGCAAUUAGGGAAAAUGAUUAGCAUGUAAUGGCCUUGCAGCUUUAAAGCCUGGCUGUUUCCUCCCUGAGUGAAUUUUUUGUUGGGAGGUGUUAGCUGGCCCUGAUUGUUUCCUGUCCGGAAUUACCUUGUUUUCAGAGUGGUGUUGUUUGCAAUAUUUUAUGUGCUUUUACUGUCUGUGGCCCUGAGAAAACUGAGGAUUUGCCAGACUUUGGUGAUGGGAACACUUUGUUGGGAAGUGUUAGCUGGCCCUGAUUGUGUCCUGUCUGGAAUUUCUGUUUUCAGAGUGUUGUUCUUUAUUUAGUGUUCAGAUUUUAGAGAUUGUAUUGUUCUGUUUUAUUAUACCACAGUAAUUUUUAUAUAUUCAGAUUUUAGUGUUUUUGAAUAGUUGGAGCCAGAUUGUAUUCAUUUUCACAGUUCACAGCAACACAAUAAUAAUAAUAAUAAUGAUAGUAAUAAUAAUGACUUUGGUAAUACACAGUGCUUCACUCCCUUCUCAGCUUCCUUUCUGGAAGAAUCGUUUCUUGGAAGAUGUUAGCUGGCCCUGAUUGUUUCCUUUCUGGAAUUUCCAAUUUCCCCGCUUUCAGAGUGUUGUUCUUUAUUUACUGUCCUAGUUUUAGAGAUUAUAUUGUUCUGUAUUAUUCUCUCACAGUAAUUAUUUCAUAUUACAGUAGAAUCUCACUUAUCCAACAUUCGCUUAUACAAUGUUCUGGAUUAUCCAACGCUGUCUGCCUUUUAGUAGUCAGUGUUUUUGUAGUCAGUGUUUUAAAUUCAUUGUGAUAUUUUGGUGGUAAAUUUGUAAAUAUAGUAAUUACUACAUAGCAUUACUGUGCAUGGAACUACUUUUUCUGUCAAAUUUGUUGCAUAACAUUUUGUUUUGGUGCUUAAUUUGUAUAAUGAUGACCUAAUUUGAUGUUUAAUCGGAUUUUCCUGAAUCCCUUCUUAUUAUCCAACAUAUUCACUUAUCCAACCUUCUGCCGGCCUGUUUAUGUUGGAUAAGUGAGACUCUACUGUAUAUUGAUAAUGUUAUAUUCUUAGAACUGGAUUAUAUGAGGCCCCUUCUACACAGCUGGAUAAAAUGCACACUGAAGUGGAUUAUAUGGCAGUGUGGAGUCAAGAUAAUCCAGUUCAAAGCAGAUAACAUAAGAUUAUAAAUGGGUUAUAUAGCAGUGUGGAAGGGCCUUGAGUCUACACUGCCAUAUAAUCCAGUUCAAAUCAGAUAAUUUGUAUUUUGUAGGCGGUGUGGAAGAGGCCUGGUUGAAGAGGCCCUGAGUGGGUUGCUAGGAGACAAAGUGGGCAGAGCUUAGCCUUCUAACUGGCAGCAAUGGGGGGAAAAACAGUUAUUCCUCUCCCUCUAAUUAGGACUUUAUUUUUCUUGGGUUUUUUUUGAUGUCAAAACACAGUCCGGGUGACCAUGUCUUUUGUGGCCAAAUUUCGUGUGUUUUGAUUAUUUCGUUUUGUUGUUUACCUUAAAGCAGAAAAUAACAGAACAUUUUUAUAUAUAUAAGAUGAUGUUUUAAUCUGAUUUUGUACUCCGAUCAGAUGUAUUUGUAUGAAUUGUAUAUGUUGUACGGUGCUUUGACCCCCACCCAUGGGAGAAAAGUGGGAUAGAAAUUAAUAAUAAUAAUAAUACAGUAGAGUCUCACUUAUGCAACACUUGCUUAUCCAACGUUCUGGAUUAUCCAACACAUUUUUGUAGUCAAUGUUUUCAAUAUAUCGUGAUAUUUCGGUGCUAAAUUUGUAAAUACAGUAAUUACAACAUAACAUUACUUCACUUCUUCACUUCACUUCACUUUAUUUCUUAAUUAGUCGCUCUCCACCAGAGUGCUCAGAUUACUGUGUAUUGAACUACUUUUUCUGUUAAAUUUGUUGUUAAACAUGAUGUUUUGGUGCUUAAUUUGUAAAAUCAUAACCUAUUUUGAUGUUUAAUAGGCUUUUUCUUAAUCUCUCAUUAUCCAACAUAUUCGCUUAUCCAAUGUUCUGCCGGCCCCUUUAUGUUGAAUAAGUGAGACUCUACUGUAAUCCUUUUUUCUUUCGUCUUCCACUUAAGCAGCUGAGGGGGGAAAGGAAGGGGCCCGUGGCUGUUAGAAGUGGUGGGAGUUGUAAUCCCAAACACAUGGAGGGACGGCCCAAGUUGGGCCAGGCCUGCUCUAUAACAUAAAGAAGCGCAACAGGCCUGGGCUAACUUGGGCCUUCCCUCCAGGUGUUUUGGACUUCAACUGCCACUAUUCCUAACAGCCUCAGGCCCCUUCCUAUCCCUUUACCAUUUCUUUUUCUGCUUAAGCGAGUGAAGCUUUGUGAGUGAACAAAAGACUCUCACGCUUGGAGUAGGGGGACUCAAGGUCAAGGUAGGCACUGAGGAGUGGGAAGGACGGGGCGGGAGGAGGAAGAGGAGGCCAGAGGAGGAGAGCAAUGGGCUGCCGGCGUUGUUCCUCCUCUUCUUCUUCGGACAAAAAUCUGUUCCCCUUGCACUGUGGGUUAAAACUGAGAUUGACAUGCAUCCUCAGGGAUUCAAAGGCUAGAAAGGGCUUGGCGAUAUGCGCAUGCUCAGCGUAGGGCAAGCAAAGUGGGCGGGGGGGGGGGGCGGUUCCAGGAGACUCCAGUAUUUUUAUUUAUAUACUAGUUGUACCCGGCCACGUGUUGCUGUGGCCUAGUCAGGUUCAAUGGGAAAGAAAGGAUAGUGAAAGAGCAGGUUUCAGAUUUCACAAUGGUUGUGGGUAGGCAAUAUUUGUGGUUAUUUUGUUGUCUGUGCAGAUAGAGAGAUUGUGUGGUUUGGUGACUCUGAAACACGCAACAUAUUACUGUCCAUGGGAGAAGCAAUCCAUUCCUAGAUGUAAACCUCAGAAUUCUAAAGAUUGACACCGAGUGUAAAUAUAAUAUGCGGGGAAUGACAGGGGGCAUGGCUUCCUCAUUGUCCUGGUCCCCGUGUUAUUUUCCUGCCGGGAGAGGCCAUAGGCCCCUUACAGGCAGUGACCCAGUGCCCCCUCCUCCCUAUUAUUGCUGCUGUAGUUUUUGUUAGUGGGGAGGUGGGGCCCCAAAGACACCCCCUCCCUAAACGUAAGGAAGGUCCUCCUAAAUGUCUCUCUUCCCUUCCCUUCCCUCUCAGUCACUCAUCCUCAAGCCUUAGGCCUCCCUGGAGACCUCUUCCGCCUCAGCAGUUUCCUUGGAGUCUAUGCCCCCCCCCGCCCCGAAGCGGAAGGAGGCUCUUCCUAAAUGCUUCCCUUCCUUUCACUGUUAGUCAGUCAUCCUCAGGCAUCUGGCCUCCCUGCCGGCCUCUCCUGCCUCCGCUGUUGCCUGGGAGGCGAUUCUUGUUAUGGCCCAUCUCUGAGGCCAAAGGAAAGGCCCUUCUUCCCCUCCGCCAUCUUCCUCCCUUCCCUUUCCCCCACCACUUCUGGUUUUUUCUCAACAUUUUAGCUUAUCCAACGUUCUGCCGGGCCAUUUUUGUUGGAUAAACGAGACUCUAUUGUAUCACUGUAUGCGCUUGAGGCCCCGAAGCCUGCAUUUCUUGGUGUUUCCAUUUUCAACAUGACAUAUAAAGGGAAAGGGGGAAAAUCUUGGAGGUAGAGAAGGUUUCUGGCUUUCAUCCUUGAUCUUUUGCUUCUUUCUUGACCAGGGAAAACGAGGAUUUUAUGGAGCCACCUCCUGGGUGCAGUAAGGAAACAAUAUCGGAAGAAAUCCUCUCAAGGUGAUGGUCUUGCUCAAUUCCUGAUCUCAGUAACAGAUAAAAAAGGAAAAAAGAAGAAUUGACUAUCUGCAUUGCAAUUAAACACCCAUAUCACUCUUGACAUGACGGAAAAAGCAUCUAAAUGCCUUGAGUAUGGAAAAAGUUUUACUCAGAGGGAUCAUCUGCAGCAACAUGAAAGGAUUCACACUGGAGAAAAACCCUAUACAUGCCUGGAAUGCGGAAAGAGGUUCACUGAGAGUGGAAGCCUACGUUUGCAUCAAAGAACACACACUGGAGAGAAACCCUAUACAUGCCUGGAGUGUGGACAGAGCUUCACACAUAGUUCAAGUCUAUGUAAACAUCAACGGAUUCACACUGGGGAGAAACCCUAUACAUGUCAGGUGUGUGGACAGUGUUUCACUCGGAGGCAUCAUCUGCAGCAACAUGAAAGGACUCACACUGGAGAGAAACCCUACACAUGCCUGGAGUGUGGACAGAGCUUUAUUCAGAGUUCAGGUCUACGUUCACAUCAACGGACUCACACUGGGGAAAACCCCUAUACAUGCCUGGAGUGUGGAAAGAGUUUUACUCAGAGGCAUCAUCUUCAGCGACAUGAAAGAAUUCACACUGGGGAAAAACCCUAUACUUGCCUGGAGUGUGGACAGAGCUUUAGUCAGAGUUCAAGUCUACGUUCACAUCAACGGACUCACACUGGAGAAAAACCCUAUACAUGCCUGGAAUGUGGACAGAGCUUUAUUCAGAGUUCAGGUCUACGUUCCCAUCAAAGGACUCACACUGGAGAAAAACCCUAUACAUGCCUGGAAUGUGGACAGAGCUUUAUUCAGAGUUCAGGUCUACGUUCACAUCAACGAACUCACACUGGGGAAAAACCCUAUACAUGCCUGGAGUGUGGAAAGAGUUUCACCCGGAGGCAUAAUCUGCAGCAACAUGAAAGGACACACACUGGAGAGAAACCCUAUACCUGCCUGGAGUGUGGACAGAGUUUCACUUAUAGUUCAGGUCUACAUUCGCAUCAACGGACGCACAUUGGGGAAAAACCCUAUACAUGCCUGGAAUGUGGACUGAGCUUCACUCAGAGCUUUAAACUACGUUCACAUCAGUGGAUCCACAUUGGGGAGAAACCCUAUAAAUGCUUGGAGUGUGGAAAGAGCUUUGCUCUGAAUUCAAUUCUACAUAAACAUCAAAGAACUCACACAGGGGAGAAACCGUAUACAUGCCUGGAGUGCGGAAAGAGCUUCACUGAGAGUGGAAGCCUACAUAUGCAUCAAAGGACACACACUGGAGAGAAACCCUAUACAUGCCAGGAGUGUGGACAGAGUUUCACUUAUAGUUCAGGUCUACGUUCACAUCAGCGGACUCACAUUGGAGAAAAACCCCAUAAAUGCCUGGAGUGUGGACAGAGCUUCACUCAUAGUUCAAGUCUAAGUUCACAUCAACGAACUCACACUGGGGAAAAACCCUAUACAUGCUUGGAGUGUGGACAGAGCUUCUCACAUAGUUCAGGUCUACGUAAACAUCAAAGGGCUCACACUGGGGGAAAAUCCUAUACAUGCCAGGAGUGUGGACAGAGCUACACUCAAUGUUCAGAUCUACGUUCGCAUCAAAGGACUCACACUGGAUAUAAACCCUAUACAUGCCUGGAGUGUGGAAAGAGCUUUAGUGAGAGUAGAAGCCUACGUUCGCAUCAAAGGAUUCACACUGGAGAGAAACCCUAUACAUGUUUGGAGUGUGGACGGAGCUUCAGUCAGAGUUAUAAACUACGUUCACAUCAAUGGACUCACACUGGGGAGAAACCCUAUAAAUGCCUGGAGUGUGGAAAGACCUUUGCUCUGAAUUCAAUUCUACAUAAACAUCAAAGGACUCACACGGGGGAGAAACCCUAUACAUGUUUGGAGUGUGGAAAGAGCUUCACUGAGAGUGGAAGUCUACGUUCACAUCAACGGACUCACACUGGAGAGAAACCCUAUACAUGUCUGGAGUGUGGACAGAGUUUCACUUAUAGUUCAGGUUUCCGUUCCCAUCAAAGGACUCACACUGGAGAUAAACCUUAUACAUGCCUGGAGUGCGGAAAGAGCUUCACUUAAAGUAGAAAGCUAUUUUCGCAUCAAAGCACUCACACUGGAGAGUAACCUUAUACAUGCCUGGAUUGUGGAGAGAACUUCUCUAGUAAUAGAUUUCUAUGCUCACAUCGAAGAACUCAUACUGGAGAGAAACCCUUUAUAUGCCUGGAGUGCAGAAAGAGUUUCACUUGGAGAGAUCAUCUGCAGCAACAUGAAUGGACUCACACUGGGGAAAAAACCUAUACAUGCCUGGAGUGCGGAAAGAUCUUCACUGAGAGUGAUGGCACCCAACUCCAAAACUCCGGAUGACCUAAGCCAGCGGUUUCAUGUAGAUAUUAAAGAGCAUGGGAGAAAGAAUGGAACCUUGUCGUUAACUUCCCAAAUUUCCUUCAUUUUUAAAAAUAUUUUAUCUCUCGUUUUUUAAUUUUCUAGGAUCCUGUUCUCUUUUUUAACAUCUUGCUGCUUUUAUAAUUUUUAAAGUUUUUAUAUCCAUGCUAAUUCGUAAUCUGAACUGUUUAUGACUCCUUGAAGAUAGAUGGAGACCACAUUUGCCCUCCUCCAAUUUGCUGGGACUUGACCUGUUCUCCAAGAACUCUCAAAGAUGAUGGCCAGUGGUUCCGAAAUGAUUUCCGCUAGUUCCUUCAAUACUCUUGGAAGUAGUUCAUCUGGCCCUUGAAUUUGUUUAGAGCAGCCUGGUAUUCCUGGACAACUUGUUUCCCUAUUUGGGGUUGGAUUUCCCCUAAUCCUUCAUGCACUCAAUGUUGCUGAGGUUGAGGACGGCUUUCUUUUUGUGAGAAGAGAGAGGCAAAGAAGGCAUUAAGUAGUUCUGACUUUUCCCUAUCCGCUGUCAGCAUUUCCCCAUCUUCUCCUCGCAGAGGCCUGAUUGCAAUCUUAGAGCUUGCUUAGGUUCAUAAGGAAAGAUGCGAUCGCGAAGAUAGGCUGGACCCAACCCAUUUAGGGCUUUGUAGGUAAUAACCUGCACUUGAAUUGGGAGUGAAAACUUAUUGGCAGCCAGUGGAGCUGUCUUAAGAGGGGGUGUUGUCCGCUCCCUAUAACUCAUGCCAGUUAGCAUCCUGGCCAGUGACCUGUGUACCAAGUGCAAUUUCUGGGCCGUCUUCAAAGGCAACCCCACAUAGAGUGUGUUGCAGUAAUCCAGUCUGGAGGUAAUUAAGGCAUGGACCACCAUAGCUAAGUAAAACUUCUCAAGGUACGGUCGCAGCUGGCGUAAGAGCUUUAACUGUGCAAAGGCCCUCCCAGCCACCACCAGCACUUGAACAUCAACUGUCAGUGCUGAAUCCGGAAGGACCCCCAGACUGUCCUCGGGGAAUGUAACCCCAUCGAGCACAGGUUGCCACCCUAUGCCCCGAUCAGCUGCAUGACUGACCAGGAGGACUUCUGUCUUGCCGGGAUAGAGCUUCAGCUUGUUAGCCCUCACCCAGCCCAUCACAGCAGCCAAGCACUGGUCCAGGAUCCUUGGGGCUUCCUUGGAAUUUGGUGGAAAAGAGUAGUAGAGUUGAGUGUCAUCUGCGUAGAGGUGGCACCGAACUCCAAAACUCCGGAUGACCUCGCCCAGUAGUUUUAUGUCGACGUUAAAAAGCAUGGGGAAAGAAUGGAACUUUGUGGGACCCCACAGGUCAAUGGCCAGGGAUCUGAGCAGGACAUGAGAGUUCUCAGGAGCCACCCCUGCCGUGAUGGGAAACGAACCAGCUUCUAGUAGAUAUUAAGGCAUUCGGAAACCAAAGUGCAGUAAAGAAACCAGUCCGAAAGGAAAAAGGAUUCCUCUCAAGGGGGUUUAGAUUAUAGUGUAGAACCAUAGAGUCGGAAGCGACUGCAUGAGGCACCUCGUCCAGGCCUCUGCCAUGAAGGGAAAAGGCAAAGUACCCCUGACAGAUCAUAGAAUCAUAGAAUAGUAGAGUUGGAAGAGACCUCAUGGGCCAUCGAGUCCAACCCUCUGCCAAGAAGCAGGAAAUCACAUACAAAGCACCCCUGACAGAUGGCCAUCCAGCCUCUGCUUAAUGAGCAUCUAGCCUUUGUUUAAUAGAUUCCAAAGGAGCCUCCACUACAUUUUGAGUUCCACCGCUGAACAGUUCCUUCUGUCGGGAAGUUCUUAAUGUUCAGAAGGAAUCUACUUUCCUGUAAUUUGAACUUACUGAUGUGAGUAAUCAUAAAGGGAAAAACAAGAAUCGAGUGUCCAUAUUGGAAUUAAUUGUACAUAACACUGUUGACAUGGAGGAGAAAGCAUAUAAAUGUAUUGAAUGUGGAAAGAGCUUUAGUCAGCAUGGAAAACUGAAGACACAUCAAAGCACUCACACUGGGGAGAAACCCUAUAACUGCCUGGAGUGUGGACAGAGCUUUGCUCAGAGUGGACAUCUACAUUCACAUCAAAGGACUCACACUGGUGAGAAACCCUAUAAUUGCCUGGAGUGUGGACAGAGCUUUACUCGUAGUUCAAGCUUACAUUCACAUGAAAGGACUCACACUGGGGAGAAACCCUGUACAUGCCUGGAGUGUGGACAGAGCUUUGCUCGUAGUGGAAGUCUACGUUCACAUCAAAGGACUCACACUGGGGAGAAACCCUAUAAAUGUCUGGAGUGUGGACAGAGCUUUGCUUGUAGUGGAAAUCUACGUUCACAUCAAAGGACUCACACUGGGGAGAAACCCUAUAAAUGCCUGGAGUGUGGACAGAGCUUCACUGAAGGAGGAAGUCUACGUAAACAUCAAAGGACUCACACUGGGGAGAAACCCUAUACAUGCCUGGAGUGUGGACAGAACUUCACUGAAGGAGGAAGUCUAUGUAAACAUCAAAGGACUCACACUGGGGAGAAACCCUAUACAUGCCUGGAGUGUGGACAGAGCUUCACUCAGAGGGGAAAUCUACGUAGACAUCAAAGGAUUCACACUGGGGAGAAACCCUAUAAAUGCCUGGAGUGUGGACAGAGCUUCAAUGAAGGAGGAAGUCUACGUUCCCAUCAAAGGAUUCACACUGGGGAGAAACCCUAUAAAUGCCUGGAGUGUGAACAGAGCUUUGCUCGUAGUGGAAGUCUGCGUUCACAUCAAAGGACUCACUGGGGAGAAACUUUAUAAUUGCAUCGACAGUGGAAACAGCUUCACAUAUAGUCGCAAUCUACAUAAACAUAAUAGAAUUCACACUGGAGAGAAUGGUGGUAAUGGACACUAGAGUCUUUCUAACAUGUACAAAAGCAACAGGUGUUAGAAAUGCAAGCCCAAAGUUGGAACAUUUUAUCAUUGUGGUGUAUUGUAAAGAGAUUGAGCUACAACACAUUUCAUCCUGGAAGUAAUUUGUGAGGGCAGUUAGAAAAAUAUAGUAUUACAGUAAAGUCUCACUUAUCCGAGAUAAACGGGCCGGCAGAACAUUGGAUAAGCGAAACUGUUGGAUAAUAGGGAGGGAUUAAGAAAGAGGCCUAUUAAACAUAAAAUUACAUUAAGAUUUUACAAAUUAUGCACCUAAACAUCAUGUUUUACAACCAAUUGACAGAAAAAGCAGUUCAAUACACAGUAAUGUUAUGUAGUAAUUACUGUAUUUACGAAUUUAGCACCAAAACACUGCAACAUUUACUACAAAAACAUUGACUACUAAAAGGCCUACUGCCUUGGAUAAUACAGAACAUUGGAUAAGUGAAGUUUGGAUAAGUGAGACUCUACUGUAAUUUUUCAACAAAGUUCAGAUUUGGAAUUAAAAAUAUAAAGAUUCAAUCUACCUUGGAGGAGAAAUGUUGGUUCAAAGCCGUUUCCCCUGUAAAUUUCCUCAGAACAUGUCUAUUGAUUUCUCUCCUUGGCAUCCCAGAAGGAGACCGUGGUCUACAAUAUUGAAGGGCCCAGAGAUGUCCAAAAGAACCAAGAGGGACACCCUCCCCCCACUGUUCCCUAUGGUCUUUCCCACACGAGGAGCAAAAAAGACUCACCUGGAUGUGGACCAAACCAGGUGACACAGCAGCAGGCUGCAAAAGCAACGGGCAAAGAGCAAGAACCAAGAGAGAGAGAGACAGCAACUGCCUCCCUUCCUGCUGUUUGAGGUAGCUUCCCCCCACAGGCCCAGCACUUGAAGGAGGUUGUAAAGGAUAAAUCGGCAUGUAAAAAGAAAAGAAAAAGUCAAGAGAAUAAGCUAGUCUGAAGAGGAAAAGAUUCCUAGCUGCUGCUAAAGCGGCGGACAAAAGGAACUAAGGCGGUAGCCCCUCCCACUGGCUAUAUACCUUCAUGGGGAGUGGGCGGGGCUUCCGCCAAAAUGUAUCUUAGAGCCCUAGAAGAUUCCAAACUGACUGCGCAGGAAAAUACCCUAUGUGCGAUUUCACAGAGACCACGAUGGAGAAGUGAGCUUCCCGAGGGAACGGCCUUUGGUGGGAGAUGCUGCAGCGCAUCACAAAGGUCUCCGUGGCGCCCCCUGCAGGCAUGGAACAUCCAUCCAGGGAGAGAGGGAGGGAGGGAGAGCACCCUUGAUGGGCAGGACCAGAGGAGGGGCAGGAUGGGAAAGCCAUUGGAACAAUAAGGUAAUAAUAAUGAUCAUAAUAUCAUAAAACAAAUAUAAUGAUAUGUAA